rnacentral:rRNA from 1 species
GACGAACGCUGGCGGCGUGCUUAACACAUGCAAGUCGAACGGAAAGGCCCUGCUUGCAGGGUACUCGAGUGGCGAACGGGUGAGUAACACGAGGGUGAUCUGCCCUGCACUUCGGGAUAAGCUUGGGAAACUGGGCCUAAUACCGGAUAGGACCGCACUUUAGUGUGUGUGGUGGAAAGUUUUUUCGGUGUAGGAUGAGCUCGCGGCCUAUCAGCUUGUUGGUGGGGUAAUGGCCUACCAAGGCGGCGACGGGUAGCCGGCCUGAGAGGGUGUACGGCCACAUUGGGACUGAGAUACGGCCCAGACUCCUACGGGAGGCAGCAGUGGGGAAUAUUGGGCAAUGGGCGCAAGCCUGAUGCAGCGACGCCGCGUGGGGGAUGAAGGCCUUCGGGUUGUAAACUCCUUUCGCUAGGGACGAAGCUUUGUUGUGACGGUACCUAGAGAAGAAGCACCGGCUAACUACGUG